rnacentral:misc_RNA from 1 species
GAUGAAGAACGUAGCGAAAUGCGAUAAGUAAUGUGAAUUGCAGAAUUCAGUGAAUCAUCGAAUCUUUGAACGCACAUUGCGCCCCCUGGUAUUCCGGGGGGCAUGCCUGUUCGAGCGUCAUUUCACCACUCAAGCCUCGCUUGGUAUUGGGCAACGCGGUCCGCCGCGUGCCUCAAAUCGACCGGCUGGGUCUUCUGUCCCCUAAGCGUUGUGGAAACUAUUCGCUAAAGGGUGUUCGGGAGGCUACGCCGUAAAACAACCCCAUUUCUAAGGUUGACCUCGGAUCAGGUAGGGAUACCCGCUGAACUUAAGCAUAUCAAUAAGCGGAGAA